GCCGCGCGCAAGGUGCGUGCGCCGGCGUCUGACUACCCGCCGUCUUCACGUGUUAGCUUCAUGUUUGGGGUAGACGAGAGCGCGCUCUCAGUGGGACCUGGAUAUCACCUUUCAGCUCCCCGGAUCAACUUGUUCGAAAGCAGGUGAUCCCCCUGAUGAACUGUCAGAAGGUCAACGAUAGCCUCACGCUACGUCACAGUGCCUAUGUCAUUCCCCUCCAUCUCAUCAUGUAGGUAUUUUACCGUCUCACUUCAUCACAAGAAGAGGAGCUGAUAUGGAGAAGACAGUGGACGUAUGAUUUGGGUGUGGUGCUGGGAGAAGGUUGGAAGUGGCAUUAGCAAGACCACCAGGUGUGCUGUCUGAUUGGAUAGCCCAGCAUGUGGAAUAUGGUGCUGUUGCCAUGAGCUACACUUUUUCUGCUGUUGCUUUAGCGCAUCUCAGUAGGAAUCGAAGCAAUGAGUAAACCUAUUCAGUAUACAUAGAAGUGGCUAUUACAGUUCUUGACUCAUCACAAGUGUCUGGUCCAUGUUACUCAACUAUCAUAUCUGAAG